rnacentral:rRNA from 1 species
CCUACGGGGGGCAGCAGUAGGGAAUAUUGCGCAAUGGACGGAAGUCUGACGCAGCGACGCCGCGUGAGCGAUGAGGGUCUUCGGAUCGUAAAGCUCUGUCCUUGGGGGAGAAGGCGAAAGCUUGACGGUACCCAAGAAGAAAGCCCCGGCUAACUACGUGCCAGCAGCCGCGGUAACACGUAGGGGGCGAGCGUUGUCCGGAAUUACUGGGCGUAAAGGGCGUGUAGGCGGCUGGCCAAGUCAGGCGUGAAAUUUUAAGGCUCAACCUUAAGACUGCGUCUGAAACUGGUUAGCUUGAGGGCAGGAGAGGAGAGCGGAAUUCCCAGUGUAGCGGUGAAAUGCGUAGAUAUUGGGAGGAACACCAGUGGCGAAGGCGGCUCUCUGGACUGCACCUGACGCUGAGGCGCGAAAGCGUGGGGAGCAAACAGGAUUAGAUACCCCUGUAGUC